rnacentral:misc_RNA from 1 species
UGAUAGCGAGUGACAUAACUGUAAAACCCGGGGUGGCGCCGUGCAAGCCAUAGAGUGAAGCAGAAGGGGCAAAUGUCUUAGUUGCAAAGGCUCACUUCUGUUCUCUUUGGCCUUUUCUUCUCUCAAUUUUUCUCUCCACCCAAAGAAAAAUCCUUUUUUUAAUUUCUCUCAGCUAAGCUUAUUAAAGACUUUGCAUUUCGUUUUCCUGCUUAUUAUUACCCCACUACUAUCAUUUUGACGCCAAGUGAUUGCAAUUUGCUGAGCAAAUGAUGGCCCUCUCUUCAUCUGAUGACACCUGAGAGGACCCAUCACACGGGUAUUUAGUUAGUGGUUAUUAGUGCUGAGAGGGUUGAAAUCUUGGUUCUGGAAAAGAUGAGCGGAGCUGUGCUUGUGGCUGUAGCUGCUGCGGUUGGUAACUUACUGCAGGGAUGGGAUAAUGCAACCAUCGCAGGGGCUGU